AUUGGUUUCUUCAAGAAUAUGAUUUCUUGAAGGAAUCGGUCUAGUUUUUGUUGAAUCUACAUUUCUUUGUUCAAAGUUGAUUAUAAGCUAAGCUUCUGGUGCCAUGGAGUGAAAAGCUGGAGUUGGAGCUGCCAUUUCCAUGAAGACGAAAUGCUAGUGUUACUGAGCUAGGCAUGAAGAUUGCAUAGAGAGGUGAGGAGAGAAUCGUACAACGCAAUGAAGGUGUUCAAAAGAAAAUGGGAACGAGCUGUCAAGGAAAAAAAGGGUAAUGCACAUUAUUGCCUUAACAAUUUUGUUUGCAUCAGAAAUUUCUAGCAUAUGGAUCUGAGCAGGAGGCACUUGAGCAUUGACCUCAAACAGUGGGAGAGGAUGAUUGGAACUAUCUACUUCAAUUAUGGCAAAAAGAUGAGUGGAAGGUCUGAUGGAUAAAGGGCAGAAGA